CUUGGUCAUUUAGAGGAAGUAAAAGUCGUAACAAGGUUUCCGUAGGUGAACCUGCGGAAGGAUCAUUAAUGGAUUGUAAUGGGGGUUGAUGCUGGUGGCCAUUUCUUUGGCUGCAUUGUGCUCACUUCUAGCAAUUAUUUGUCCAAACACUUGUGCACCUUUCGAGGGUUUUCCAAUCUUGGAUUUCCCUCUCACAUACACUCAUUUAUAAUAUUGAACGUGUUUGUGCCAUGCAGUGGCCAUAAUAUAUAAUACAACUUUUAACAACGGAUCUCUUGGCUCUCGCAUCGAUGAAGAACGCAGCGAAAUGCGAUAAGUAAUGUGAAUUGCAGAAUUCAGUGAAUCAUCGAAUCUUUGAACGCACCUUGCGCUCCCCGGUAUUCCAGGGAGCACACCUGUUCGAGUGUCGUGAAAUUCUCAAGCUGGAUGAUUUUUUCAUCUCAGUUUGGUUUUGGGCUUUGCCGUGACCCCCUUCAUUGGGACGGCUGGCCUUAAAAAUAUUAGCUGACUCUCAUGUGAGAUUGGUUCUACUCAGCGUGAUAACUCUGACCGCUGAGGACAUCUUUUAUUGGAUGGCCGAGCUCUAUGUUGGGUUGCUUCUAAUCCUGGUUUUUACAGAUUUUCGGAUCUGUUUUCCACUCACGAUUUUGGCCUCGAAUCACGUGGGACUACCCGCUGAACUUAAGCAUAUCAAUAAGCGGAGGA
rnacentral:rRNA from 1 species